CAAGUCUCGCGGCAGGUCUGUACAAUACCAUAAGCUCAAACAAGCAUGAGGGUAAAUUUCAAUUUGUAAUUUCUCGAUCACCCAAAACUUUGCCUAUUAGAUGCCGCUUUAGAGCAUCGUUUACAGCGAACGACUGUGUUUUUUGUUGUUGUGGCAGAGCAUACGACUAAUCGAGCCCAGUGGUCAGCUGCUGCACACAACCGCUAGCCGCACAACAAUUGCCCGACAAAUUAACCGAUUGUUUGCAAAUCAUUUGAAUGCAUUUUUAUACACAAUUACACAUAUGUAUACGUUGCAAUGAGUAAACAAACUCGUUAUAUUUCAAUUUUCAUUUGCCACAAGCACUGCAGUUGUUUUGCUUUUUCAAUUUUAUACCAAGCAAAUUCAUUUAAUUUCCUAUUACAGCAGUUUGUUUUGCUUAUAUUUAUGACAAUUCCUGUCUUUCUGUGUGAAUCUAACACAAUCGUAUUUUUGCAGGUUUGUUCUUUUACUUUACUUCAUAUUUGCAUACUACACGAGCAAUUUAACAUUAUCAACGCCAGCCAUUACUAGUGACAAUUGGUUGCAACUUGCAGCAAACAGCAUGUAUCACAACAACAACAAUUUGGCAGUGUGUUAACACUUAGCGAUCGUCCAUGGAGUGACUGUGGGAGUUGUGUGAAAGUCGCUUUGACUGCUUUGCAGAUGAAAUGUCGGUAUGCAGCAGCAGACAGACGCGCAUUAGAUAAGAUAAGAAAAGUAGAGAAGAAGUAUGGCGGUGUUACUUUUGAAAUGAAAAGGUGGUACGUAUGGAUGUGCCUUGCGAUUGUGUAAUCGCAUUUAGAGCCCAAAACUCAGCUACGGCAUCAUAAAAAUAUUCUACUAAUAAUCGUUUUCAUUUACUAUCUACGAACUACAAACAUAAACUUUAUGAUGUA